rnacentral:rRNA from 1 species
CGUACAGUGGGGGCGGCGGCUGGGGUAGGACGACGGGGGCUAGGGUUGCGCGGAAUUACUGGGCGUAAAGCGCACGUAGUCGGACUCGUAAGUAGGGGGUGAAAUCCUGGAGCUCAACUCCAGAACUGCCUUCGAUACUGAGAGUCUGGAGUCCGGGAGAGGUGAGUGGAACUGCGAGUGUAGAGGUGAAAUUCGUAGAUAUUCGCAAGAACACCAGUGGCGAAGGCGGCUCACUGGCCCGGUACUGACGCUGAGGUGCGAAAGCGUGGGGAGCAAACAGGAUUAGAUACCCCGGUAGUC